CCUACGGGGCGCAGCAGUGAGGAAUAUUGGUCAAUGGACGCAAGUCUGAACCAGCCAUGCCGCGUGCAGGAUGACGGCUCUAUGAGUUGUAAACUGCUUUUGUACGAGGGUAAACCCCGAUACGUGUAUCGGGUUGAAAGUAUCGUACGAAUAAGGAUCGGCUAACUCCGUGCCAGCAGCCGCGGUAAUACGGAGGAUGCGAGCGUUAUCCGGAUUUAUUGGGUUUAAAGGGUGCGUAGGCGGGCUUUUAAGUCAGCGGUAAAAAUUCGGGGCUCGACCCCGUCCGGCCGUUGAAACUGGGGGCC
rnacentral:rRNA from 1 species